GCCGGGCUAGCUCAAUCGGUAGAGCGUGAGACUCUUAAUCUCAAGGUUGCGGGUUCGACCCCCGCGUUCAGCU
rnacentral:tRNA from 1 species